UGCGGAACUCUGCGUAGUAAAACAAACCUCGCAGCUGGGAAGCGACGGCGGCCACGCCGUGAAACACCCCACUUCUGAAAGUUGACCUCGGAUCAGGUAGGAAUACCCGCUGAACUUA
rnacentral:rRNA from 1 species